UGGGGAAUAUUGCACAAUGGGCGCAAGCCUGAUGCAGCCAUGCCGCGUGUAUGAAGAAGGCCUUCGGGUUGUAAAGUACUUUCAGCGGGGAGGAAGGUGUUGAGGUUAAUAACCUCAGCAAUUGACGUUACCCGCAGAAGAAGCACCGGCUAACUCCGUGCCAGCAGCCGCGGUAAUACGGAGGGUGCAAGCGUUAAUCGGAAUUACUGGGCGUAAAGCGCACGCAGGCGGUCUGUCAAGUCGGAUGUGAAAUCCCCGGGCUCAACCUGGGAACUGCAUUCGAAACUGGCAGGCUAGAGUCUUGUAGAGGGGGGUAGAAUUCCAGGUGUAGCGGUGAAAUGCGUAGAGAUCUGGAGGAAUACCGGUGGCGAAGGUGGCCCCCUGGACAAAGACUGACGCUCAGGUGCGAAAGCGUGGGGAGCAAACA
rnacentral:rRNA from 1 species